rnacentral:lncRNA from 1 species
AAACAAUAUGGCGUCGUAAGGUAGAUAUUUUCGUCGAAAGUUAAAUGUUAUUAUACCUCUAUAAAUAGUAAAGAACAAAAUUACCAGACCUGACUGUAUUUGUCAGACAUAUGAGACAGGAGCUCAGCGUUCAAACAGUGGUUUGAAAAGGACAGGGUGCUAAACUGAAAACGUGCACUUUAGCCCGCAAAACGGUUAAAAAUAGACAGUAACAGUUUGUGUGUGUUUCACUAAUUCACAUACUAGCCAACUAUAAGAGCACACACAAACUACUUAAAUAAUUAUUACAAUUAAUUCCCCAUUGCAACA